rnacentral:tRNA from 1 species
UCCUCCGUGGCGCAAUUGGCUAGCGCGUCUGACUGUUACGCUUUCCGUCCUCGGAUGAGCAGCAAUCAGGAGGUUGACAGUUCAAGCCUGUCCGGGGGAG